AAGUGAUAAGGGUUCGUCAGUUUCGUUAAAGUUUCAGACUUUUUAUUUGCAUUUUCCCUUGAUUUGAUCUUUUGGAGCUCAGCUGCGUUUAUAUGGUUGGUGAUGUAUAGUGGUGGUUAAUCAAGUAAGUGUUCACGCUGGUGUGUUGGAGACAGUUUGAUUUGGCGAAUAGGGAAGCAAUGGAUGAAUCUGCAGAAUGGCGGAGAAUGUUUGACUGUGAAGCUGAGAAAGCUUCUAACUGUAACUCAGAGCUGGCACUGGAAAAUGCAGCAUUGCUCAGUAAGAUAGAGACACUAAAACAAGAGCUGGAAGCUUCAAGGUUAAAGUGCCGUUCAAGAGAGGCACCCCAUUAGAUUGGUUUUCUGUAGUAGACAUCCAGCGUUUGAUAUUAGCUCUCGCUCAUUCAGCUGCUGGUAAGAAAAUCUUAAACAUUUCAUUCUCAUGUAUAACAGUUGCUGUAGUAGACGAUUUGUAGGCUCUUUUUGGAACAAUCAUACUAGCAAUACCUGUAAUAUACAUCAUCAUUUUCAUCACCUUGUAUCGAGAUAAUCCAUCUUAGAAUUCAAUUCACUGGAUUCAUGUGUUGUU